rnacentral:lncRNA from 1 species
CUGCAAACACCCGCUCUCCAAGCACCUGCUAAGAACCAGGGGUCCUUGGCAGAGGACUCCCCUCGCAGUGGGUGCUCAGAGCCCACUGAUCUUGCCCCUCCGCUGGCCCGGCUAUGGGAACUGGCAGGUGGCAGCGGAGCUGGAACUUAGGAAGGGCAGGAUGUCAGCUUGGAGCCAUGCCGGCUGUCACCAGAGGCCGCCCCUCCCACAGCUAAGCCUUCCCGGGUGUUGUGUCAUGAGCACACACAGUCCGGAGUCUCCGACACCACUUUGUUUCCCCUGCUCUAUCCAUGGGGCCACCUCUCACUUUCCCAAAAGAGAGGGCAGGGUGUCAAGCCGUCUCACAGAUGGCAGAGCAGAUGCCUGACCAUACUCUCGAGCAGCUUCAGAGAAGUAUUUAUGCCCUGAAGUGGUUUCUUCAGGUGACCAGAUGAAGAACACCCAUCUCAGGCAGAGAAUCUCACCGAAAUAGAGAAGAAGCUCAUGCUCCUGGAAGAAACAGCCUGAGGAGAGCCGCUGGGCCACAUCUGGCCACUGUCCACAGCGCUGUCAGAUCCAACGAGAGCCGCUGAGUCACAUCUGGCCACCGUCCGCAGCACUCACAUCUGGCCACCGUCCGCUGCGCUCACAUCUGGCCACCGUCCGCAGCGCUCACAUCUGGCCACCGUCCGCAGCGCUCACAUCUGGUCACCAUCCACAGAGCUCACAUCUGGCCACCGUCCGCUGCGCUCACAUCUGGUCACCAUCCACAGCGCUCACAUCUGGCCACCGUCCGCUGCGCUCACAUCUGGCCACCGUCCGCAGAGCUCACAUCUGGCCACCAUCCGCAGAGCUCACAUCUGGCCACCGUCCGCAGCGCUCACAUCUGGCCACCGUCCACUGCGCUCACAUCUGGCCACCGUCCGCAGCGCUCACAUCUGGCCACCGUCCGCUGCGCUCACAUCUGGCCACCGUCCGCAGAGCUCACAUCUGGCCACCGUCCGCAGCGCUCACAUCUGGCCACCGUCCGCUGCGCUCACAUCUGGUCACCGUCCGCAGCGCUCACAUCUGGCCACCGUCCGCAGUGCUCACAUCUGGCCACCGUCCGCUGCGCUCACAUCUGGUCACCGUCCGCAGCGCUCACAUCUGGUCACCGUCCGCUGCGCUCACAUCUGGCCACUGUCCACAGAGCUCACAUCUGGCCACCGUCCCCAGCGCUGUCAGAUGCCGACCAAACCCUGCUUUGGUGUUGAGGUGGUUUGUCUAGUAGCCUCCUUUCUUAAGGGAAUUUAAUCUGCUGCAAAUGGUUCUCAUGUAUGCAAUAGAUGUUACUGUAACUGUUUUAUAAGGUGCAUUGCCUUCACCUUGCCAGGCUCUAUGCCAGUCUGUGUCUAGUCUGAUACCAUUCCUGCACACAUACAUCAAUGCCCCAGCAUUUGGAGGGCUGGAGUUAGGAAUAAUCCUGUUGGUGACUUAUUAUUAACUAUUGUAUGGGACUUAUUAUGUAUCUUCAUGUUCUACUGUUCCCACCUCCCAAACCCCAAAAAAGGAUGAGAUCUGUUUUAUAACAAAAACAUUUACGAUAAGGCCUAUACCAUAAAAUAAGUAAUAAAGUUAAUACCAACAAAAAGAGAAGAAGUAUGAAUUACUGCUGUGGUUAGGGUUGACAUUAUUCCUACGAUUGAGCUUCGAAGACUUUUCUAAGCAGUAAUAAACAUGAACCAAGCGUCACACAGUUCCAUUCAUGGUCCUGACCUGAGAGAGCGCUUUCCUAGAUGGACACCCACUCCCUCUCCCAACUGCCCAACUCAUCAGUAAAUGGAGUUUGAUUUAAGCCAAACCUAAUGCAGUAGUUCCCUGUACUUGAGGUUUUUCCUUCUGGGAUUUCAGUUACCUGUGGUCAACGAGAUCCAAAAAUAUUAAAUAGAAAAUUCUAGAGAUAAACAAUUUACAAGUUCUAAACUGCACGCCUUUCUGGUAGCAUGAUAAAAUCUCAUGCUGUCCUGCUCUGUCCCUCAUGGAAUAUGAAUCAUUCCUUGUCCAGCAUAUCUACUCUUCAUAGCAGCAGUCUAGGUUAUCAGAUUGACAGCUCCAAGAAGAAAAGUGAGUUAAGUACAAUAAUAUAUUUGUGAAGAAAGACCAUAUUUAUAUAAGGUUUGUUACAAAACACUAUCAUAAUUGUUCUAUUUUAUUAUUAGUUGUUAUGGUUAAUCUGUUACUGUACCUAAUUUAUAAAUUAAAAUUUAUCAUAGGUAUGUAUAUAUAAGAAAAAACAAACAAACAAACAAAAAAUAUAUAUAUAGGAUUUGGUACUAUCCACAAUUUCAGCUAUUCACUGGGGUCUAGGAAGAUAUUUUUCAUGGAUAAGAAGGGGGCUGGGGUAUAGCAAAAUAAAAUUAAAUAUGCAAAAAUGUCUAAUCAUAUGACUAAAGAAAAUAUACACGACAUUAGAAAAGAUAAAAGGAUCAGUGGUCAUCAUAGCAGCUUCAAAUUUAGAAUGCAUAUUUACAGUUAGUAAUACAUUUAUAGCAAUCUAUUCAUGAUGGGUGGUAAGAAGAGAGUAAACAAUCUUUCAUUGGUAAAUCUUUUCGAGAUAUCUCAUUGCUGAAUACUUUACAUGCUAUCUCAUUGAAUGUUUAUGAGGAUCUCAAGAAGUAGUCAUAUUCCUAAUAGAGAAAAAAAACUUGAGUUUUUUUUUUCUUGCUAUUUCAGUGUUCCUUUUCCUUUGCCAGUCCUCCAAUAGCUGUUCAAUGAAUCUACAUAUUAAAUUUAAGGCUGACUCCAUCUCCUGAAUCACAGUGGUCAUUCUGCCUCUUGGACUGACUCCAUUCUUCAUUUAUUGAGUCCUUGUGGAUAUAGAGCCUCAGCCCUUGUCAUCCCCUAAGGCAAGUGUUGGUCUGAGAAGCGAAACCAAGCUGGCACAGCACUGUAGGCCUGGGAGGGAAAGUGACAUGUGCCUGCAUCCCAAGGAGUGGGGAUGAUGAAAUCAUGAGGGACUCAAUGAGGCUAUCAUUUGGGGUGCCACUGGAACAUUGAUUAGUGAUGAAAGAGGAGAGACCUUUGGCCUCCUGAGAGAAUAAAUCUGGUCCUCAUGGUGUCUCCUUUCCAAGAUCACCUCGUUCUUCCUGUCUUACCCACUUCUCAGCUUGGGUAAAUAUUAAACCCUCCAGUGAAUGGGGCCAUGUGAAAUUUUAGUCUAUCUAUCUCUACAUCACUGAACAUGUUGGACUCCACUAAUCUUAAGCACAAACAUCAUUUUUCCUCUUAUCAAUGAUCUUUUAGCAUUUUAAGCAACUUUUAUAUAACAAUACUUUUAAUAUUUUUUCUGGUAUCUUGUCUCAGUAUCUUCCCAUGUAGAACAACUCUAUGUAUCACAGAACUACUAAAAGCAAUUAAA